GAAGGAUUUUAAACAACUGGCUGUUCUCUCCGCCGCCGCCCCUCCCCCCGCGCCGCCCGCGCUCGGCUCCUCACUGGAGAGAAGGCGCCGGGAGGAGGGGAAAGUGCGGCCUGGAGUCGCUGGUAGGAGCCGGCGGAGCUGGAGCUGUGGAGGCCCCAGACUUCGGGGCGCCCGCCGAGUACACAGACAGACCUACGGCCCCAGCCUUCGUGGGAGCCCCCACCAGCCCCCUUUCCGGCUCCUCUCCUGUCUGUGACCCCGCGCCAGUACCCUGAAUUGAUCUCUGCAGCUCUCAGCCCUACUCCCUGGGGUGUCGCCCCCGGCCCCCCGCCCUGCUCCCAGAGGAAUGGCUGGUGAGGGACAAACGCGCUGUUCCCUCGACCUUCUGUCUGAGCGACCCAGAGCGACUCGCCUUUCCUCCUGGGGAGGGACUGUGCCUCCGGCCCUCGGCGCCGCCGGGGUGGCGUCGCCUCGCCCCUAGGGCCGCGCCCUGCUUCCCAGGGGAACACCCUGCCUCGGGCCUGCCUCCCCUCUUUAGAGUGAUUUGGUGGUGGAGACAUGGCAUUCAUGGACUCAGAAGAAGCAGAAGGAGUGAUGCUGAGCAAGUGCUGCUGCUGGUCCAUGGAUCACACAUUGAGAGCUUGAAAGAAAAGAGAGCUUCCACUGUUCUCUUCUGAGGUCCUCAAUUCAUUCAAGUUGCUGGGCCUUGUGGUGAGGAUGACUGUAAGGUGAAGAUUAUGGGCUAAUUGUCACCUGCUACACGUGGAAGGAAGAGAUGUUUGGCAUGGCACUGAUCAAUGUGUAUAUUAACUGGGAAAUUUACCUCCAGGAGAAAAGAGAAAACCAGCUGUAUGAAUGGAAUUUGGAGAAAGGGCACAACCAUCAGACGAAGUGGGAGGAAGAAACAUUAACUUCAACAGCUGUUUCUUGACCCCGGCUGUCAGUCUUCCCAAGAAUAAAUUUUGGAGAGUCCUAUUUGAAACAAAGAGGGAGUUUUUGAGGAGAGAAAAGUUGGUUGGUUCCAGGGAGGCCGCCCAAAGAAGCAGGGAACAAGAUGUUUGCAGCUACCACGCAGCCUGCAAGCCUCUGCCGGGUGCAGGGAUGGAGCAAAGUAACUUGAAAGCUCCCCUCUCGGCGCCCUGUGCCUGCAGCUUCCCCCCCUAACGUGCGCCCAGAUCCAGCGCCGGUGGUAAGAGCCGUAGCUCGACUACAGUAAUUCCCCAGCUCGGGCGGCUUGAAACUGCUCGGGCUGAAUAGCAUUUGCUGUUCCGUCCUGCGACCGCCUCCCGCCGCCGCUGCCGCGCUCCCUGCAAAGCAGCUCUCAUUAUCCCGGAAGUUGUGCUGACACAGUCUCGCUGCCACCAGAAGUUUGUCAACAUCAAACUUCUCCUGUGUGGGGUACGUUCACCUUCUACGAGUAUUUAAUCGAGCCAACAAGCAAACAAACAAACCCAAAUAAACCUGCCCGUGAU